UUUUGGGAUCUCACUGGUUUUAGAGUCAUGGGAACUUCGAAGUUAAGUGAGUUAGGGCUAGAGCAAUCCUAGGAUGGGUCACCUACCGGGAAGUUGCUCGUGAGUUCCAAUAA
rnacentral:rRNA from 1 species